AUUGAACGCUGGCGGCAGGCCUAACACAUGCAAGUCGAGCGGCAGCGGAAAGUAGCUUGCUACUUUGCCGGCGAGCGGCGGACGGGUGAGUAAUGUCUGGGAAACUGCCCGAUGGAGGGGGAUAACUAAUGGAAACGGUAGCUAAUACCGCAUAACGUCGCAAGACCAAAGAGGGGGACCUUCGGGCCUCUUGCCAUCGGAUGUGCCCAGAUGGGAAUAGCUAGUAGGUGGGGUAACGGCUCACCUAGGCGACGAUCCCUAGCUGGUCUGAGAGGAUGACCAGCCACACUGGAACUGAGACACGGUCCAGACUCCUACGGGAGGCAGCAGUGGGGAAUAUUGCACAAUGGGCGCAAGCCUGAUGCAGCCAUGCCGCGUGUAUGAAGAAGGCCUUCGGGUUGUAAAGUACUUUCAGCGGGGAGGAAGGUGUUGAGGUUAAUAACCUCAGCAAUUGACGUUACCCGCAGAAGAAGCACCGGCUAACUCCGUGCCAGCCGCCGCAGUAA
rnacentral:rRNA from 1 species